rnacentral:rRNA from 1 species
UACAUGGGGUGCAAACGUUGCUCGGAAUUAUUGGGCGUAAAGCGCACGUAGGCGGUCCGUUAAGUCGGAUGUGAAAUCCCCCGGCUCAACCGGGGAAGUGCAUCCGAAACUGGCGGGCUAGAGUACGAAAGAGGGUCGCGGAAUUCCCGGUGUAGAGGUGAAAUUCGUAGAUAUCGGGAGGAACACCGGUGGCGAAGGCGGCUUUCUGGUCUGUAACUGACGCUGAGGCGCGAAAGCGUGGGGAGCAAACAGG